rnacentral:rRNA from 1 species
CUACGGGAGGCAGCAGUGGGGAAUAUUGGACAAUGGGCGCAAGCCUGAUCCAGCCAUGCCGCGUGAGUGAUGAAGGCCUUAGGGUUGUAAAGCUCUUUCGCUCGCGACGAUAAUGACGGUAGCGAGAGAAGAAGCCCCGGCUAACUUCGUGCCAGCAGCCGCGGUAAUACGAAGGGGGCUAGCGUUGUUCGGAAUCACUGGGCGUAAAGCGCAUGCAGGCGGAUCGUUAAGUCGGGGGUGAAAUCCCGAGGCUCAACCUCGGAACUGCCUUCGAUACUGGCGAUCUUGAGUCCGGGAGAGGUGAGUGGAAUUGCGAGUGUAGAGGUGAAAUUCGUAGAUAUUCGCAAGAACACCAGUGGCGAAGGCGGCUCACUGGCCCGGUACUGACGCUGAGGUGCGAAAGCGUGGGGAGCAAACAGGAUUAGAAACCCUUGUAGUCC